rnacentral:lncRNA from 12 species
CGAUUGCAGAUCUUCUAUGGAUGCUGUGGCAGGUUCUUUUGAACUGCAAAAAAGUUGUGCCAGAUCUGCUCAAAAUAAUUUAAAGCAUGCUGGAUCUGCUCGCUUGAGCUCCUGCGAGUAACGUGCCUCCUUGCCUCAAGAAGGAU